UACGUAGGGGGCUAGCGUUGUCCGGAAUCAUUGGGCGUAAAGCGCGUGUAGGCGGCCCGGUAAGUCCGCUGUGAAAGUCGGGGGCUCAACCCUCGAAUGCCGGUGGAUACUGUCGGGCUAGAGUACGGAAGAGGCGAGUGGAAUUCCUGGUGUAGCGGUGAAAUGCGCAGAUAUCAGGAGGAACACCAAUUGCGAAGGCAGCUCGCUGGGACGUAACUGACGCUGAGACGCGAAAGCGUGGGGAGCGAACAGG
rnacentral:rRNA from 1 species